AGCAGUAGCCGCGGUAAUACGGAGGGAGCUAGCGUUGUUCGGAAUUACUGGGCGUAAAGCGCGCGUAGGCGGUUACUCAAGUCAGAGGUGAAAGCCCGGGGCUCAACCCCGGAACUGCCUUUGAAACUAGGUGACUAGAAUCUUGGAGAGGUCAGUGGAAUUCCGAGUGUAGAGGUGAAAUUCGUAGAUAUUCGGAAGAACACCAGUGGCGAAGGCGACUGACUGGACAAGUAUUGACGCUGAGGUGCGAAAGCGUGGGGAGCAAACAGGAUUAGAUACCCGCGUAGUCCCUGUCUCUUAUAC
rnacentral:rRNA from 1 species